AUAGAGAUAUAUGUCAAUGUAUGUGUGCAUGCACAUGUAUUUCAUGUAUUUACUUGCAUGUGUAUGUAUAUGCAUACAUAU
rnacentral:miRNA from 1 species